rnacentral:rRNA from 1 species
CGAACGCUGGCGGUAUGCUUAACACAUGCAAGUCGAACGAGACGAGAUGGAAGGAUCCUCGGGUGACGGAAAUCUUAGAAAGUGGCGAACGGGUGAGUAACGCGUGGGUAACCUGCCCUAUGGAAAGGAAUAGCCUCGGGAAACUGGGAGUAAUGCCUUAUAAUACAUUGAAGUCGCAUGGCUUUGAUGUUAAACGCUCCGGUGCCAUAGGAUGGACCCGCGUCCCAUUAGCUAGUUGGUGAGAUAACAGCCCACCAAGGCGACGAUGGGUAACCGGUCUGAGAGGGCGAACGGUCACACUGGAACUGAGACACGGUCCAGACUCCUACGGGAGGCAGCAGUGGGGAAUAUUGCGCAAGUACGGGGGAAACCCUGACGCAGCAAUACCGCGUGAGUGAAGUAAGGUUUUCGGAUCGUAAAGCUCUGUUAUUGGGGAAAGAAAAAAGACGGUACCCAAGAAGAAAGUCCCGGCUAACUACGUGCCAGCAGCAGC